rnacentral:rRNA from 1 species
UAACCUGCCCAAGAGAUCGGGAUAACACCUGGAAACAGAUGCUAAUACCGGAUAAUAACAGAUGAUGCCUAUCAACUGUUUAAAAGAUGGUUCUGCUAUCACUCUUGGAUGGACCUGCGGUGCAUUAGCUAGUUGGUAGGGUAACGGCCUACCAAGGCGAUGAUGCAUAGCCGAGUUGAGAGACUGAUCGGCCACAUUGGGACUGAGACAAGGCCCAAACUCCUACGGGAGGCAGCAGAA